rnacentral:lncRNA from 1 species
UCUGGGCUCUCUGGGCUCCCCAUUGCUCCAAACAGGGAGAACUUCGUCCUCCAAAAGCCAUGGGGGGCACUUCUUGGCCUGGCAGGAGCAUCGCGUCCGGGGCCACGUCUCAGGCUGUCACAAACAUCCUUGGGCUGUGGAUUUCCCUGCUGCAGCAUCCACAUGUGGAAGAGUGCAGGCUUAUAUGAAGACAUGGUCAGGAGGACCAGCCUGUCACUUGAUGCACGUUUGGGGCCAACAUAAACCAGCCAAAAGAAGCAGUGGUGGCUUUUGUUUAAAACAUGUUUUUUCUCAGCCAAAUUUGUUCAUCUCUUGGCUACAAGAAAACAUUUGUGCCAACACAAAGAAGGAGGUGUUAUGGGGGUAGAAAUGAGGGGUUGGAGAUGGGAGCAAUCCAGCUUCUUUCCACAGCAGUGCUGGCUUAGGGUGGCAAGUGAGAGUCUCAGUUUUACUUUGACUUCUUAUCAAAUCCAUUCUCAGUUCCCUGUGUGACAACUGCUCAUGCUGGAGGAGUGCUCCCACACUAGGUCACCUGCCGAUGUCCCUGUCUGCAGGUAGGCCCUGCUGCAGAUGUCUGCUUCAACUGCCUGCCUUCUGCUUCAGCACCUUGCUCUCUGUUUUGUCCAUAUUGCCUUGUUGACAGAGUACAGAAGGCUCCACUCUGCCCCAGACAAGACUGUAAAAUCACCAAUAUGAUGUCUUCAAGAAAGAUUUCUCACUGAUCCCUGCAAGAAAUCUCCAGAUGAUAAGUGCUAUGAGAUGGCUGGUGAGGACUUCUCAUAUAUAGCUAUUUUUUGACCUAUUUAAGUUCCCAAUAUUGCCCUCAGGUAAUUUCAGCAAAUGCAUCAUUGUGGCAGGUGAACAGAUGAGAGGUGUGGGGUUUGUGUGGUGCUCUAAGAUAAGGAGCCCGUUUUUGCCUUGCCAGAACAAGGGUAGCAUAAAGGGAGACAGCAGAAUGGCUUCUGCUUGGGGCCUUCGAUAAGUGUCCACCCCUUGGUCAGGGUCAGGGAUGUAUAAAGUCAUUCCCUAAGUGCUGUUAGGUCUUCAGUGGGUGCUCUCUUUCCUCCUUAUGAUGGCAUGGGCCCAGUAAGCAUUUGGGAGGAAACCACGCCUGAAGCUAGCCCAAGGAGAUCAAUCCUAUCACAGUAAAUAAGGGAGGGGAAGAGACAGAGAGAAAAGAGGGAGAUGGAAGAGGUUUGAUAGAGGUCUUUAGACGAGGAUCCUGAAACUUAUUCCCAGGCCGCAGAAACCGCACUGGAAAAUUUGCUUCAAAUUACUUGCUGUCAGGGACGGAGACGGAGACGGGACUCCGAAGAGCAACGUUAAGCAUUGCAAACUGAGACGGGGCCUCUUGGUGUCGAUUAACA